UUUAUGAGUGAAAGAAAUGGUUAACACUCCCCUUGACAAGGAUAGAAAAAAAAUCACUUGGUCUUUCUAACACAUAUGAUCAUUGCUCUCUACUUCAGAGCAACAUUCUUUU